rnacentral:lncRNA from 1 species
AAGCAUGAACAAACCAAUCCUCCGAUUUCGUAGAACUUUGUAAAAGUGACCCAAUUGAAGAAACCGAAUCAAAUUCACUGGUGAAUAGAAACACACGAAUCCGUGAAGCUUUCGUAACACGAUCGUAUUCCUCGAUCAUAUUCUCAAGGUCUUCAUCGGUGGUAACAGAAAUAAGCGAAUCAAGGUCUUCAUUGGGAAGCUGAUAUUUCAACCAAAACGGCCUUCCAGCCAAAAGGGUUUUCGAAAGCCGUGAUGAAAGGUCAGAAAGAGAAGUAUUUCUAUCGGUAACGAAGAUUCGGGUAUCCCCGCCGAUAUAACAGAGGGAUUUAUCA